GGACGCCAGUCUGCGUGGAGCCGACCUUGAAAUACCACCCUUUAAUGUUUGAUGUUCUAACGUGGAUCCGUAAUCCGGGUUGCGGACAGUGUCUGGUGGGUAGUUUGACUGGGGCGGUCUCCUCCUAAAGAGUAACGGAGGAGCACGAAGGUUGGCUAAUCCUGGUCGGACAUCAGGAGGUUAGUGCAAUGGCAUAAGCCAGCUUGACUGCGAGCGUGACGGCGCGAGCAGGUGCGAAAGCAGGUCAUAGUGAUCCGGUGGUUCUGAAUGGAAGGGCCAUCGCUCAACGGAUAAAAGGUACUCCGGGGAUAACAGGCUGAUACCGCCCAAGAGUUCAUAUCGACGGCGGUGUUUGGCACCUCGAUGUCGGCUCAUCACAUCCUGGGGCUGAAGUAGGUCCCAAGGGUAUGGCUGUUCGCCAUUUAAAGUGGUACGCGAGCUGGGUUUAGAACGUCGUGAGACAGUUCGGUCCCUAUCUGCCGUGGGCGCUGGAGAACUGAGGGGGGCUGCUCCUAGUACGAGAGGACCGGAGUGGACGCAUCACUGGUGUUCGGGUUGUCAUGCCAAUGGCACUGCCCGGUAGCUAAAUGCGGAAGAGAUAAGUGCUGAAAGCAUCUAAGCACGAAACUUGCCCCGA
rnacentral:rRNA from 2 species